GAAGACUUAGCUUAAUCAAAGCGAUUGGUUUGCAUCCAAUAGAUGUAGGGUGAAGUCUUACAGUCUUUA
rnacentral:tRNA from 1 species